rnacentral:lncRNA from 1 species
GGACUAAAGCCCAAAUCAUCAUAGGGAACAACACUCAGUACAUGGGAAUCUCGAUUGUAAUCCUCAAAUUCACACUAGAUUAAGAUCUUUGCUUCUCAGGACACAUUUCUGUACUUUCACUGGAUAUCUGAACCGACAGAUUCUUCCAGAUAACCCAUGUAGAAUCUAAUUUAAGAAUCCCACGGAAUUGCUGUUAAGAAAUUGUUUUUUAGUAUCACAUUCCACAAAACCUUUGCAUCCCCAAAGUGUCUGUUCCUGACAAGGUGCAAAAUCAUCACCAAUUUUACCUUUUACGAACUUGUACCGCUGAUUUUUACCAGUGAAACCUCACUGAAGAUGGAAGCUGUAGAAAACCAAUUAAGAAGGAUGCUUUCCUCCCACCUUAAGUCAGUUGUUUUCCAUCUAUACUCUAUAGACCCCGGGGAGAUUAUCCCCGGGGAUUAUCCCAGGAUUACUUCUAAAGGGCUAUAUGAAAAGUAAUGAAGAAAGGAAGCCAAUUAUCACUAGAUUUAAAUUCACUAUACAGGAUUUUACACAGCGUCGAGUUCAAAAGUUGAAAUGCCUUCCAAAAGUCUUCUAUUGACAGAGUUAAGAGCUAACCGUCUAAACUUUGGACUCGGUCAGUUUAACAGCAUCGGCUGCUCAAACAGCCUUUCACGUUUGAUGCAGGAGCACAGAGGCAGCAGCAACUGCAGCAGGACAGGAUCCCAGAAUCCAUCCGGCUGGAGAAACCCUCUGAGAUCAUCGAGCCCAGCCCAUGCCCCAGCAGCGCCGUGUCACCCACACCGCGGCACUGACACUCCAUUCCGAUGUCUCAUCACCAUUCCUGUGAACAAAUUCCUCCUGGGACGUGCCAGCUCACCGACAGACACGCAGCAUCACACCCCGCGUCGAGCUUUAACUUUUUGGCUACACCCCUACCAACGCCCACUCCACGCUCAAGCACGCACUUCAGGAGCUUUAACACUCCACGCUCGCACUUUUCAAACAUACUUACCACAAAACACUGCCCGACUCGCAAAGGUUUUUUUUUUGUUUAUACACGACUACUACGCACGGGAGCCCCGAAGAGCCCAAAGCAAGCCGGCUGUGUGUGCCUGUUGGGCUCCUCCCUGCUGGCCCGGGCUCUCCGGGCACACAGAGCGUUCCCCGGACACGCAGGCGGUGCCAGCAUCCCCCUCUCAGAGCUGAGCGAGCCGGGAUGCUCGGACGCUGCAGCACAGCUCCUCUCCAGGCAGACAAAUCCGACGAGAACAGAACCUCGGACCCACCGGGAUGCCCGUGUCCCCUGUUCCACUUCUGGCAAUUCCUCCUUUUUUAACCUCUUCUGUCUGAAAAUACACAUUUCUUUGCAGCUGUCCUGGUUUUAGGACAAGCAGUGAUGAGCCACAGGAACACAAGCUUUGAGAUUUGCAUUUUGGAGAAAACAGGUUUCAGAAAACUGAAAGUAGCCAACAUAACCUGUGAAAAUGGGACAGAACAACAUCAAGUAUAAAUGCAUUUGCUGUGCAAUAAUUUAGAACCACAAUAACAUCCCAUUAAAAAUAUUAAUUUUUAAAAAUGAGAUGCCCUGUAUAGCAAGUACUAAUGGAAGCAAUCAAGUUUUAGAACAGAUGAUGUAAGAGAAAGCUAUUUAAAAUAGAAUCUCCACCGCCUCUUUCUCCAUUCAGAGCCCACAGAGGAAGGUGCAAAGCAGUUCUUACAAAGUGACUCAAAACUUCCCAGCCACUAUCAGCGGCUUGCUUCAGACAUAUAUAAAGUUUCCUUUUCUUUGAAAAAGUUUAAAGACACAGUAAGGUUUCAAUAAAUCCCUCCUCCUGUAAUGUCA